rnacentral:tRNA from 2 species
GCCGGCUUGGCGCAAUUGGUAGCGCACCUGUCUUGUAAACAGGGGGUUGCAGGUUCAAGUCCUGUAGCCGGCACCG